rnacentral:rRNA from 1 species
GUUGCUGGGGUAAUGGCCUACCAAGCCUACGAUCUAUAGCUGGUAUUAGAGGAUGAUCAGCAACACUGGGACUGAGACACGGCCCAGACUCCUACGGGAGGCAGCAGUCGAGAAUCUUCCGCAAUGGGCGAAAGCCUGACGGAGCGACACCGCGUGCAGGAUGAAGGCCUUCGGGUUGUAAACUGCUGUCACGCCAUAGGAAUUCCCUGCUGUCAAUAGCUUCAGGGUUGACCAAAGCGAAAGGAAGCACCGGCUAACUCUGUGCCAGCAGCCGCGGUAAGACGGAGGGUGCAAACGUUGUUCGGAAUCACUGGGCAUAAAGCGCACGUAGGCGGCCAAGUCAGUCUGGUGUGAAAGCCCCCGGCUCAACCGGGGAACGGCAUCGGAUACUGCUUGGCUCGAGGACGGUAGGGGUGAGUGGAACUCCUGGUGGAGCGGUGAAAUGCGUAGAUAUCAGGAGGAACACCAGUGGCGAAAGCGACUCACUGGGCCGUCUCUGACGCUGAGGUGCGAAAGCUAGGGUAGCGAACGGGAUUAGAUACCCCGGUAGUCCUAGCCGUAAACGAUGGGCACUAGGUAGGGAGAGUUCCUAUGGCUUUCCCUGCCGUAGCAAAUGUGUUAAGUGCCCCGCCUGGGGAGUACG